CUUAAUAUUUUUAUUUUGGCAAGCAUAGAACUUUACUACUUACUAAAGAUGAAAUUUGAGAUCUUGUGCCCUCUUUGGGUGUGCAGAUAUAUCUGGUGUGCAGAUAUACAUGGAAGCAGAAUGUUGUAUACAUAAUAAAUAAAUAAAAUCUUUGGGCUGGAGAGAUGGCUCAGCCGUUAAAGGCUAGGCUCACAACCAAAACAAAGUUGUUUGUAAGAGCAGACUCAAUCUUAUUUAAUGCAUAUGUUUGCAUGCAGGGACACCAGAACAAGAUCUUAUGUGUCAGAGAAGCAGAAAUUCACGAAGAAAAGUGAUCUGCCAUCAAACCAACAUGCUCAGAUUUACCCAAACCCGAGCAGCAUCUCUGAAGUUUGUGAUCCUGUGCCUCCUCCCAGUGCCAUCUGGCUUUGAACCAGUGAUACUCUGUAUCUGGGUAGCUGACCUACACUCUAAGGACCACAUUCAGAUCAUGGCAGAUGAUGAUGGGAGUGAAUGAAAUCACAGCUGGAUGAAGUGGCACCUGACAUACAGUGGAAUGCUCAUUAGAAGCCCGUGCUGUUGUUAUCCGUGGCUUUUCUGGUUAUUAACUUCCUUUUAGAGCUCUGCUUCUUACCCUUCAAUUCUCUAUUUCUCCAUUUAAUUCUUCUACCAAUCUAGGAUUCUCAUGUAUUCUUCUACUUGGUCCCAAGGACACCAAAGACAAAUAAAUCUGUUUUAAUAUAAGAGCUUUAAACUGCA
rnacentral:lncRNA from 1 species